CUCUCAUUGGAAGAGUGACAAACCAGCAGUUUAUCAUUUACAAUUGCUACUUUGCUACGUAUACCUUUCUUUUGUGCUACACUUUUGAAGAUGUAGGUAACUGUUAGCCAGGCUUAUUCAUAUAAACUAUUUGAUAGGAGCUUCCAUUGGAAAUUAUAAAGCCACCUGGUCAAAAUAGUCAGAAGACUUGUAGAAAAUAGUCUCAUUGAAGAUCAUGCACACACAUCUGGCAUGUGUGAGAAUCCUUACAGAGUGGUGAUAAUACUGGUAAGCAGGUUUUUAUUUAGGCUGUCUUAUAAUGUUAGGUGUCAUAACUGCAGGUUUGUUUAUUCUCUUUUCUCUGUGAUUUUUGGGUUUGAUUUUAAAUAGAGGAAAACCUGUAUGUGCUUAAAGUUCUCUGCUGAUAAGUUGGCAGCUCUCCUUUCCUAAACCUCUAACAAAACACUGAUGGUUUUGGGGAAAUCUUUGCUACUUCUUAAUAUUUAACACAUCUCAGUAGUUGCUUUAGUGCUUGUGCACAGGAGAUGCCAAAGGAGAUCAAGACUCCAAAAUUCUUGCCACCUGAGAGUUCUCAGCAAGGAGAAGCCCACGCUGCAGAGGGGAAAGGAAAAACAAAGCAUUUAGAGACCUAUGUGAGCACUGUGAAGAGGCAGUCCCAGCCUGGAAAAGCAUCACUUUGUGUGAAGAAAUCACACCCAUGGAUUUAUGCUACGUUAAGAUAUCCCUCUCUGUGAAUCAAGUCUCCAAGCAAGCACCUCACUUAGAAGCUACUUUUGGGAAGCAGAGCCCAGCUUUCCUGAAGGUGAGAACUCUGACCACAUGGAUUUCUCUGCAAGUCUGGGAGCAGAAAACCUCUAGGGAG